rnacentral:lncRNA from 1 species
AUGAAGCAACGGACUGACAAAUCGUGGCCAGCAUAUAGGCACACGAAGAUAGCCAAUGUAUUUGCAUGUUUUCUUGACUUAUAUUACAAUGCAUCCAUAAUAAAAGCUAAAUUACAUAAUGGUAUUCUCCCAUUGUCAUGCCCAAUAUGCGACCCUAUCCAAAAGGAACUCGAAGGUCCCACCAAGGAUAGACCCGCAUAUUGAAAUGCUUUUGCAAGGUGGAUAUCAUUACAUCAACAUUACAUAAUAGAUGGGGAUACAUACAAGAGGCAUACAAUGCCACACGAAUACCACAUCACAAUACAUAAGAGCAUCAUCCGACUACGGAUGAAACACAAACAGAAACUCAAAUGACAUGCACCCUGCUAGCCCAGGCUGCCGACCUGGAACCUAUCCCUGAUCGAAGAAGAAGCAGAAGAAGAACUCAACGCAAGCAAGCAUCGCUCUCGCGUCAUGAUCGUCGCAUAACCUGUACCUGCAACUAUUGUUGUAGUAAUUUAUGAGCCACGAGGAGUCAGCAAUCCCAUUACCACGGGUAUCAAGACUAGAAAAGCUUAAAGGGAAAGGAAGAGGUAAAGUGGUGAGGCUGCAGCAGCGACUAAGCAUGAUAUGGUGGCUAACAUACGCAAAUAAGAGCGAGAAGAGAACAAGCGGAACGGUCGUGAAGCUAGCAAUGAUCAAGAAGUGGUCCUGAACUCCUACUUACGUCAAACAUAACCCAGAAACCGUGUUCACUUCCUGGACUCCGCCGAGAAGAGACCAUCACGGCUACACACACGGUUGAUGCGUUUUAAUUCGUAUCUGGUGUCAAGUUAUCUACAACCGGACAUUAACAAAUUCCCAUCUGCCUAUAACCGCAGGCACGGCUUUCGAAAGAUUAUACCCUGCAGGGGUGUCCCAAAUUAGCCCAUGACAACCUCUCGCGAUCAACGAAGGAUAUACCUUCUCCCAGGAAGACCCGAUCAGACUCAGAAUCCCGGUUUACAAGACAUUUCGACAAUGGUAAAACAAGACCAGCAAAGCCGCCCGAUGCGCCGACAAUCCCGAUAGGAACUACACAUAUCUCGUUCUCAGGGCAACACCGGAUGAGACAUCCUACGAGUAAAACCAGACCUCGAGUUUCCCCGAGGGGGCCCCGCAGUCUACUCGGUUCGAACCAACACUUAGACAAGCAUUGGCCCGGGGGGGCUAAAAUAAAGAUGACCCUCGGGUUGGCCGACCCAAGGGAAGGGAAUAGGUGGUGGUGAGGCAAAUGGUAAAACCAAGGUUGGGCCUUGCUGGAGGAGUUUUAUUCAAAGCGAACUGUCAAGGGGGUCCCAUAAAUCACCCGACCGCGUAAGGAACGCAAAAUCCGGGAACAUAACACCGGUAUGACGGAAACUAGGGCGGCAAGAGUGGAACAAAACACCAGGCAAAAGGCCGAGUCUUCCACCCUUUACCAAGUAUAUAGAUGCAUUAAUAAUAUAAGAGAUAUUGUGAUAUCCCACCCAAAAUCCUGUCCACCAUGGAGAAAUCUUCAACUUCACUUGCAACUAGCAACGCUAUAAGAGGGGCUGAGCAAAAGCGGUAACAUAGCCAAACAACGGUUUGCAUAGGAAAGGUGUCAAAGGUUAGAGGUUGACAUGGCAAUUUGGGAUGGCUUGAUAAACAGGUAAUAGGUAGCGCAGCAUAGCGAUAGAACGAAGCAACUAGCAUAGCAAUGAUAGUAGUGAGAUCCAGGGUAGCGGUCAUCUUGCCUGAAAUCCCGCAAGGAAGAAGAACGAGUCCAUGAAGAAGACGAACGGAUGAAGCCGAACCAAGCGUAGACGAACGAAUCCUCACGAUCGCAACGAAACAGGAACUAUCGAAAAGAAGCACACAACAUGGUAAACACACCACACAUGAACAAGGCAUGAUGCACAACCGAGCAUGAUGCAUGACAAGACUACAUUAAUCUACUCAUGGCAAGAGAUGAUGCAUACAAGAGCAACACAUCAAGGCAAGUUUAAAUGAGGCCGGGAACAUCAUAUAACAAUUCCGGUAAGUCCUCAUAUGCAAAUUUCGAAAAUGGUCCAGAUCUGAAUAAACCUUAUGUUCAAGUUGUUAAACAGCAAGUUAAGAUGCAC